rnacentral:tRNA from 1 species
GCCUUCUUGGUGUGGUAGUCAGCACGCUCGACGCUUAUUCGAGAGGUCCGUGGUUCGAGUCCCGGCGAGAGCA